CAGCACAACACUAAAGAAAUUAAAGAAUGCGAAACGUCAAAAUUAGCAUUUUUGUUUUCUCUGUGGAUCUUAAUUUUUGUUUUCAUUUAGUUUUUAUUAAAAAUUUUGAUUAAAUCAUGGAUAAAUUGAAUAAAUAUUACGUCUAUAUUUUACUUAAGAUGUUGUUCGUGGACCACAAGGCGUUUGUGCGUGUUUUUAACUGUUUUAUCAUCCGGAAAAG